GAUGAACGCUAGCGGCAGGCCUAAUACAUGCAAGUCGAGGGGCAGCACGGUAGCAAUACUGGUGGCGACCGGCGCACGGGUGCGUAACACGUAUACAAUCUGCCUUUAACAGGGGGAUAGCCUUUCGAAAGAGAGAUUAAUACCCCAUAACACUAAAAGUAGCAUUACUUUUGGUUAAAAGCUCCGGCGGUUAGAGAUGAGUAUGCGUCUGAUUAGCUAGUUGGUGAGGUAACGGCUCACCAAGGCGACGAUCAGUAGGGGAUCUGAGAGGACCUACCCCCCACACGGAUACUGAGACACGGAUCCGACUCCUACGGGAGGCAGCAGUAAGGAAUAUUGGACAAUGCCCGCAAGGGUGAUCCAGCCAUGCCGCGUGC
rnacentral:rRNA from 1 species